UACGUAGGGUGCAAGCGUUGUCCGGAAUUAUUGGGCGUAAAGAGCUCGUAGGCGGUCUGUCGCGUCUGCUGUGAAAACUCAGGGCUUAACCCUGAGCUUGCAGUGGGUACGGGCAGACUAGAGUGCGGUAGGGGAGACUGGAAUUCCUGGUGUAGCGGUGAAAUGCGCAGAUAUCAGGAGGAACACCGGUGGCGAAGGCGGGACUCUGGGCCGAUACUGACGCUGAGGAGCGAAAGCGUGGGGAGCAAACAGG
rnacentral:rRNA from 1 species